rnacentral:rRNA from 1 species
UUUCUGUAGGUGAACCUGCAGAAGGAUCAUUAGUGAAGAUUUGGGCAGGCCAUACGGACGCCAAAAAGUGUCCCUGGCCGCCUACACCCACUAUACAUCCACAAACCCGUGUGCACUGUCUUGGAGAAAGGCUUCAGAGAAGUUUUUUGUGGCCUCUCUUGGGGUCUUUCUUCGCUACAAACUCGAAUGGUUAGUAUGAACGUGGAACUUGGUUGGACCGUCACUGGCCAACAAACUAUACACAACUUUCGACAACGGAUCUCUUGGUUCUCCCAUCGAUGAAGAACGCAGCGAAACGCGAUAGGUAAUGUGAAUUGCAGAAUUCCGUGAAUCAUCGAAUCUUUGAACGCACCUUGCGCUCUAUGGCAAUCCGUAGAGCAUGCCUGUUUGAGUGCCAUGAAAUCUCCCACCCCAAGCGGUUUUUACAUGAAACGGCUUGGCGGAUGGGGUCUGGAUGGGUGCCUCUGCCUGCGCUACCUAGCACAGGCUCGCCCGAAAUGCAUGAGCGCCUUGAGACACUUUGCAUCCGCCUCUCUGUUUGGGAGGAGGCGGCCAAGCAGUGUUUUUCUCCUGGCAUGGCAUGAUACGUCAUUUGCUAUGUCGCCUAAAGGAGGAAUGUUUGGUUGUGUCUGCGUGUGCUUCGAGCUUGCCUCUGUGGCACAUCCCAAUUUCACUUCUGGUCUCAAAUCAGGA